AAGAUUGGAUAGAUCUAUUAGGGUUUUCAGACACAUAUUUAUAGAGAAGGCAAGGAACAGGCUCCUUGGUCUCUAAAUGGGCCUUAAAAAUAAACCUUAUAAAACCUUAUAAAAACCUUAUAAAACCUUAUAAGGGUUCUCAAGUCUGGCAGCUUAAUUCUCAAGUCUAGCAGCCUAAUUCUCAAGUCUAGCAGCCUAAUUCUGCUUCAUGUUAACAAAGAUAAAUAAUUAAAAUAAAGUCUUGAACUGAGAUCAUCAAAUGAGUGAUAGGAAAGCAACAUAUGGCCUCAUUAAAAACCUAUCUUUGGAAAACCCAGUGGGACAAAN
rnacentral:lncRNA from 1 species